AUGGAGAGACGGAUAGUCGCGGAGGUGCAGUCUUUUUUUGUUUUUAGACGCAUCGAUGAGGAAAGUCCGGACACCGCAGGACACAGUGAUGGAUAACGUCCACCGGUCGAAAGGCCAGGGAAAGUGCAGCAGAAAAGAUACCGCCGUUGGAGUCCGCGUUUUUUUAUGGACCUGACGGUAAGGGUGAAAUGGUGAGGUAAGAGCUCACCGCGAGGCAGGCGACUGCGUCGGCAAGGUAAACCCCACUGGGUGCAAUGCCAAACAGAGAAGAGUAAAGCGGGCCAUUGCGUUCGUUUUCCCGUGUCGGUCCGGCACGGUGAUUUUCGGGUAGGCAGCUUGAGGCGUUCAGCAAUGACCGUCCUAGAUAAAUGACUAUCGCUCGGGGCGACCCGUUCACAUAAUCCGGCUUAUAGUCUCUCCAUUUUU
rnacentral:RNase_P_RNA from 1 species